AAGAUCUUAAGUAUAAAUAGAAGUAAAAAUAACUUCAUAUUUUUCAUAUUCAUUAUAUAAACGUUAUAGAAAUCCAGAAAAAAAACGUGAAUUCGUCUUUCCCUCCAAGCAAGAAUCGGCUCGUUGUUCCAAAUAAAUCCAUCGUGAGGAGGAAGGGCGGCGUGCAGGUAGGUCAUGGUGUAAAAACGUAACGGCCACAUAAUUCGCAAGCCUGGGGACUUCCAAUCGUCUACACUUCAAAGAGAGAGAGAGGGGCUGGGUUAGCUUGUGAACACGGCCGGUUCGAGGCCACCUUCGCACGCGCGAAUAGCCAGUAGUGGCAACCGAGCGCGAACGUUUAUUUUUAGUGCAAUUUGUCGCUCGAACGAUGCCAUAAAGCGAAGGCUACACGCCGUGUGUGUACCGGCCUAUAGAAAUUUUCACGUGUUUGUACCCACGACUAAACGUCACUCGCAUCGUUAAAUGUGUCGACGGUGGACGAUACGCGGGCGGGGAGAGCGAGGAGCCCGCUUUAUAAACCAUCCCGUUUGGCCUUUCGUAUCAUCCGCCCGAUGCUCACUACGAAGCAACCAAUGGAUUGUCGAUCCGCCGACAUUGCCUCUUCUUUUGUGUUUUCUCGCUCGUGUGUGUUCAAGUUUCGACGUAUCGAGAUUAUAAUAGCGUAUUCGAAUUGAGGAGGAUUAGCCUGACGGUGUUAAAAUUUGAUUGACCGGAUUAAUUAUCUUCCUGAAUCGGACGGUCAAUCUCUCAAAUACAACUCGGUAUUUACGUAUUUGAGUUGUCCAAAGAAGUUGCAAUAUGCCGAAAGUUGGAAUAAAAGUUGCAAGAAUACAUUGGAAGAAAGGAGAAGUAAAAGGGUACGAUAAACGAGAUAAUGACGAUAAAUGAUGGUGUUGCUCGAGAACGCCAUUAGUCAAAGCAGUUUUGGAGAAGUUUGUCAGGGUUGAUCUCUCUCUAUUAGAGAAUUUAUGUACGUAUAUUAAAAUUAUAUAUCAUUGGUGUGAUAAAUUAUUAGAAAAAUUGUGAAGUAGUGUAAUGUUAUAUUAUUUGUUAUUGUAAGUGGAAAAAUAAAAUUCAUUUUU